GUUGUUGAAGGUGAUAAAUGUGAAAAUUGAUGGGUGAUAAGCUAGAAUUGGACUCAUAUGGAGGAGGGAAGUAAAUGUGGAAAUAUAUAUAUAUACUAAAAGUACAGACAGAAACACACCACCACUUUAAAUGAAACCCGCGCACUCCCAUGGCAGGCCCAAACUUGCAAUUACUCCCCUGCGAUCCUGUUUGUCCUUCCACCCAGAC
rnacentral:lncRNA from 1 species